rnacentral:rRNA from 1 species
GAUGAACGCUAGCGAUAGGCUUAACACAUGCAAGUCGAGGGACCGGCGCCCGGGUGCGUAACGCGUAUACAACCUGCCUCACAGAGGGGGAUAACCCGUCGCAAGACGGACUACUACCGCGUCCUGUGAUAUACGCAUGCGUCCCAUUCGCCAGUUGGUGAUGUAACGGCUGACCAAGGCAACGAUGGGUAGGGGAACUGAGAGGUUGAACCCCAACGCUGAUACUGGGAAACGAACCAGACUCCAACGGGAGGGAGCAGUGAGGAAUAUUGGUGAAUGGGCGAGAGCCUGAACCAGCCAAGUCGCGUGAAGGAUGACUGUCUAUUGAGUGUAAACUGCUUUUGUAGGAGAAUAUGUACCCUACGAAUAAGCAUCGGCUAACUCCGUGCCAGCAGCCGCGGUAAUUC